GUUAAAGAUUCCGCAGCCUUUGUAGCGUGCGGGGCGCGGGGAUUGGUCCCGAACCGGCCCCGGUAGCGGCCGGGGCUCCGCGGUGCUGGCUGCACGGCGGGCGCUCGGCUGUCCUGCCGGCAGUCGACUCCGCAACCCCCGGUCCCGCAGCCCAGCCCCGCAACCAGGUGCUCUCGGGGCACCGCUGCACACAGCCGGCCUUGCUGCCUCUGUUCGCUGCUGCAGACCAAGUUGGAUUUCCUGUGGUGCCAAGGAAAUGUCUGCCUUGGAGUGCUGUUGGUGAUGGGAAAUUGGGGACACUACUCCAGCUGUCUGACUGGAGAGUUCACAGCUGCUGGACUGGGAAAGACCAUUCAGUUCCAAGCCCCUGCCAUGGACACCUUCCACUGGACCAGGUUGCUCCAAGCCCCAUCCAACAUGGCCAACAAGAGAAGCAGCACUCCUGCGGUGUCACCGCUUUUGGGGACAGCUCAGCUGGAGCAGCCUGGAGCUGGAGCAAGGACAUCGAUGGCACUCUGGUCCUGUGUUUGCACCCAUUUUCCCCCUGAUUCUGCCCAUGCAAAAGAGAUUUGGGAGGACCUUGGGAAGGUGUUUUAGUGAGAAAUGUUUAAGCCCUGCCAUGUGCUGCACCCUCUGCCCUGACCCUUAGUGAGCCCCAGCCCCACCAACAAGUUGCAAUGGAAACAAAGGCAGUUCUUGCUUCAGAUUCUUCAGAGAUAAUAAUAUGUCAGGAGCCCCUGGAGAGGCUGAAAGUAAAUGAAUCAGGGCUAGAAAGUGAAGGAUAUCAUCCGUGCUGAAUGGUGAAAAGAAGUCCUGAACAGUAUCUUCAUUGAUUUUCCUGUAAUUGACACAGAGCUCAGCUCGUCGGAGGCUGUGGCAGGAAUGGGGAGGCCCAGGUACCAUUCCUGCCUCAAUUAGGUAGCUCGGGGCUGUGGGCAGCUCCAAAGGAGCUACUGGGCUGGGAGCCCAUGUUUUCACUGCUCACAGAGUGCUCUGCAAGCUGCCUUGAGGACAAGGGGCAGCUUGGAAGGACAUGUCCCAGGCUGCCAGCAGCUUCUCACCAGCCCUGGGAUAGCCCCAGGUGCACCAAGCCCUCAGCUGGUGAGAAACACCAGCUCUAAAGUCGGGAAAAUCCAGCAGUGGCAGGAAAUCUGGUUAGCUGAGAUCUGAGGCUCUCCAAGGAGAAAUGUGCCUUCUGUGUGAAACCUCUCAGCUGGGCAGUGGGACAGACCCAGCUCUCAGGGCACCCAUGGAUACCCUGUCCUGGGGCAGAGCCACCCGGGCAGCAGGGGUGGCACUGAGGAGAGAGGGGUCCCAUCGAGGAGAAGCAUGGCCGCACCACAUGAAAGGAACCAGGAGCAUCGAUCCACUUUACAGCCCAGCAGAGGAACCACCUCUCAGGUUGGGCAUGCACUUAGGAAAGGUUCCCACUUUUUGAUUUAUUUAUGCAAAAGGUACACGGUCUUUAUAACAGUACAGGAAACUUGUGCUUUGAAGAUUUGCCCCCACUGAAAUCCACUUUUUCCAGGCUAUCUUUGCGAUUUCCCUCCUUCCUUUGAAGUUGGUGUUUGGGGUCUCCAAACAUAAGGGGGUCUCUAUCUGCCUCACAGCACUCCAGGUGGUUUUAAAGUCUCUUUAAAACCAAGUGCUUGUCAGCCUGCUGGGCUGUGAAGUUCCAUGAAUUUAUUACCACCAGCAUUCUCCCUCCUCGGCUGUGUUUAGCCGCCAAGGCUGCUGGAUUACAGCAGCUCCGCUUGGACUGCAAAGGUAUUCCCGGGAGAAGGGUGUGAGGAGCGAGCUCCUGCAGCUCCUGGGACACCCUGCUGGGCUAAGGAACCCUCACAUCCCAGCCCUUAAGGUAGUGGGAGCAGCCACAGAGGCAGGAGCCAGCGGCAAACAGGGGUCACAGUGGGGACACUGCUGUGGGUGCUUGGGGCCAGACGGGACCCCAGUGGGACCAGUGGGGGCUGGGCAGGAUUCAGGCUGGAACCAGGUGGGAUCCCAAUGGGACCCAUGCACCACCAGGUCUGACCAUAGUGGGACCCUGGGAGGAGCCAGGAAGGGUCUGCAUGGAACCCUGGCCGUCCCCCAGAAGGACCUUGUCCGCCUGAGCCCCACGGUUUCCCUGAGUCACUUCCCACCUGGAGCACCGCGUUCCUGCUGAUGCAGCGCCAGGGUCACUAAAUGCUUUGUUGAACACCUGCCCGCGUGUGCCUAAGUGCUUUCAGCCUGGGUGGUUGCUGAAUCGGGUUUCCUGGGACAAUUAUUUUGAACAUAAGUACCCAAAGUCUGCUCGAGUCGUUUUCUAAGUGCUUAUGUUAUUUUGUUUUAAAAACCUGGCAUUGCAUCUCUAUCCCUGUGGUUAGAGCCAUCCCAGAGAUGUACUUAUUUUAAUUAUAUUUAGAAAAAUGCUUGCUGGGCACAACAGUUGCGUCUCUCCACCUGACUCUAAAACGUGCAGUGUUUUCUCAUACUUGGCUGUGAAGCUCCUUUUAACAGAAAAGGAGACAGAGCAAUGCCCUGGAGAUCAGGAUGUUGGUCACCCCCAGGCUGAGAUAGCAGCAGGAACAGCUGGAUAAUUUCAGCAUGAGGACAUUGUCACAGCUGCAUG